rnacentral:tRNA from 1 species
AAUAAAAUAAGCUAAAGACAAGCUAUUGGGUUCAUACCUCAAAUAUGAGAAAAUUCUCUUUUAUUA